rnacentral:rRNA from 1 species
UACGUAGGGUGCAAGCGUUAAUCGGAAUUACUGGGCGUAAAGCGUGCGCAGGCGGUGAUGUAAGACAGUUGUGAAAUCCCCGGGCUCAACCUGGGAGCUGCAUCUGUGACUGCAUCGCUGGAGUACGGUAGAGGGGGAUGGAAUUCCGCGUGUAGCGGUGAAAUGCGUAGAUAUGCGGAGGAACACCGAUGGCGAAGGCAAUCCCCUGGGCCUGCACUGACGCUCAUGCACGAAAGCGUGGGGAGCAAAAGGG